UUAAAAAAAUUAGGAGCUUUCUCUCCCCAGUUCUUCCUGGAGUUGGGAAAAGCUGGGUUGAGAAGGUGAAAAAAAAAAAAAA
rnacentral:pre_miRNA from 12 species